AUACGGAGGACGCGAGCGUUAUCCGGAUUCAUUGGGUUUAAAGGGUGCGCAGGCGGCCGUGCAAGUCAGCGGUGAAAGCCCGGGGCUCAACCCCGGAAGUGCCGUUGAUACUGCAUGGCUGGAAUGCGGUCGAGGCGGGCGGAACGGGGCGUGUAGCGGUGAAAUGCGUAGAUAUGCCACAGAACGCCGAUAGCGGAGGCAGCUCGCCAGGCCUGCAUGGACGCUCGGGCACGAAAGCGUGGGGAUCGAACAGGAUUAGAUACCCUGGUAGUCCACGCCGUAAACGAUGGGCGCUCGUCGUCGGCGGCAGACAGUCGGCGGCCAAGCGAAAGCGAUAAGCGCCCCACCUGGGGAGUACGGUCGCAAGGCUGAAACUCAAAUGAAUUGGCGGGG
rnacentral:rRNA from 1 species